UACGUAGGGUGCGAGCGUUAAUCGGAAUUACUGGGCGUAAAGCGUGCGCAGGCGGUGUGUUAAGACCGAUGUGAAAUCCCCGGGCUUAACCUGGGAACUGCAUUGGUGACUGGCAGGCUUUGAGUGUGGCAGAGGGAGGUAGAAUUCCACGUGUAGCAGUGAAAUGCGUAGAGAUGUGGAGGAAUACCGAUGGCGAAGGCAGCCUCCUGGGCCAACACUGACGCUCAUGCACGAAAGCGUGGGGAGCAAACAGG
rnacentral:rRNA from 1 species